rnacentral:rRNA from 1 species
GACGAACGCUGGCGGCGUGCUUAACACAUGCAAGUCGAACGGAAAGGCCCUGCUUUUGUGGGGUUCUCGAGUGGCGAACGGGUGAGUAACACGUGAGUAACCUGCCCUUGACUUUGGGAUAACUUCAGGAAACUGGGGCUAAUACCGGAUAGGAGCUCCUGCUGCAUGGUGGGGGUUGGAAAGUUUCGGCGGUUGGGGAUGGACUCGCGGCUUAUCAGCUUGUUGGUGGGGUAGUGGCUUACCAAGGCUUUGACGGGUAGCCGGCCUGAGAGGGUGACCGGCCACAUGGGGACUGAGAUACGGCGCAGACUGCUACGGGAGGCAGUAGUGGGGAAUAUUGCACAAUGGGCGGAAGCCUGAUGAAGCAACGCCGCGUGCGGGAUGACGGCCUUCGGGUUGUAAACCGCUUUCGCCUGUGACGAAGCGUGAGUGACGGUAAUGGGUAAAGAAGCACCGGCUAACUACGUG